rnacentral:rRNA from 1 species
AUGGACUACUCAAAUUUGCGUCGCCAAAUUACCUUCAUGAAGAAAAGUUUCUUUGAUCAGGGUUACCUUGAUGAACAGUUCAAUCAGCUGGAAGAACUGCAGGACGAAUCAAGCCCCAAUUUCGUUGAGGAAGUUGUGGCUUUGUUUCUGAAAGAUUCGCCGAGAUUGUUGUCAAACAUAGAACAAACAAUUGGGAAGUACCCUCAGGAUUUCUACCGGUUAGAUUCUCUUGUGCACCAGCUCAAAGGCAGCGGAUCCAGCAUUGGAGCAGUGAGGAUGAAGAACGAGUGCUCGGUGUUUAAGGCACACUGCAAUGACAGGAAUCUGGAAGGAUGCCGCAGGUCACUGCAGAAGAUGAAGAGGGAGCAUGCCACUCUGAAGCAGAAGCUGGAGUCAUAUUUUCAGUUACUGCGGCAAGUCGGGCCUCGCGAGCAUGCCGUGAACUCAAGGAAGUAA